GUCUGCUUAGAAAACACAAACAGUCUAGCCUGCCCACUGAACUAUUUAAAGGCCGCGGUACCUUGACCGUGCGAAGGUAGCAUAAUAAUUUGUCUUUUAAUUGAAGACUCGAAUGAAAGGUUGCACAAAGAGUAAACUGUCUCUUCUUUUUACACUAAACUUAACUUUUAAGUGAAAAGGCUUAAAUAAUCAAGGGGGACGAUAAGACCCUAUAAAACUUUAUUCAUAAAAAAUAUGUUACCAUUUAUUUGUAAAAGACUUAACUUAUCUUAAAGUGAAUUUCGUUGGGGCGACGAAAGUAAAAAACUAACUGCUUUAAGUUUAAACAAUAAUAUUUGAAUACAAACCGAUCCUUAUUUCAGAUUCUAAGAAGAAGUUACUUUAGGGAUAACAGCGUUAUUUUUUUUAAGAGUUCUUAUCGACAAAAAAGUUUGCGACCUCGAUGUUGAAUUAAGUUACCCUUGCGGUGUAGCAAUUGCAAAGGGAGGUCUGUUCGACCUUUAAAUCUUUACAUGAUUUGAGUUCAAACCGGCGUAAG
rnacentral:rRNA from 1 species